GACGGACGCUGGCGGCGUGCUUAACACAUGCAAGUCGAACGGAAAGGCCCUGCUUUUGUGGGGUGCUCGAGUGGCGAACGGGUGAGUAACACGUGAGUAACCUGCCCUUGACUUUGGGAUAACUUCAGGAAACUGGGGCUAAUACCUGAUAGGAGCUCCUGCUGCAUGGUGGGGGUUGGAAAGUUUCGGCGGUUGGGGAUGGACUCGCGGCUUAUCAGCUUGUUGGUGGGGUAGUGGCUUACCAAGGCUUUGACGGGUAGCCGGCCUGAGAGGGUGACCGGCCACAUUGGGACUGAGAUACGGCCCAGACUCCUACGGGAGGCAGCAGUGGGGAAUAUUGCACAAUGGGCGGAAGCCUGAUGCAGCAACGCCGCGUGCGGGAUGACGGCCUUCGGGUUGUAAACCGCUUUCGCCUGUGACGAAGCGUGAGUGACGGUAAUGGGUAAAGAAGCACCGGCUAACUACGUG
rnacentral:rRNA from 1 species